UGGAGGGUUUCCGCCCUUCAGUGCUGCAGUAAACGCAUUAAGCACUCCGCCUGGGGAGUACGGCCGCAAGGCUGAAACUCAAAGGAAUUGACGGGGGCCCGCACAAGCGGUGGAGCAUGUGGUUUAAUUCGAAGCAACGCGAAGAACCUUACCAGGUCUUGACAUCCUUUGACCACUCUAGAGAUAGAGCUUUCCCUUCGGGGACAAAGUGACAGGUGGUGCAUGGUUGUC
rnacentral:rRNA from 1 species